UUGGACUUGGACUUAUAUUCUAGAAAUGCCAUGCAGCUUAGCUCUGCUUGGGCUUGUGACGUCUAUCAUUGUGAGAGUGGGGGGUUUUUUUUCCCAGCAAGCCCUUAGAGAACGGUAAUCGUCUUGCCAGGAUUGGUGAGACGUUAGAGCGCAAUAGUGUAGAUUAGUCAGCUGUAAGCCUAGAUUGUUUCUGAUUUGUCAGAGAACCUAAGUACAGCUUGGUAAUUGUGAAGCUUUUGGGAUGUCCUUUCAGUUUUGGUUCUAUAGCUUUGGAUGUUGCUCAUACACAAUGACGAGUUUUUAAAGAUUUUUUAGACUAGCAAACCUCAGCUGGAGGUGUGUUUCACUCAGAAAUCAGUUUCAGUUCUGGGGUUCGGCAGAAAUCUGUGGUACGCUGUGCAUUUUUUAUGGUUGCAAUUUCCAGGACACACUUUUCCCCAGGUGUUUUCAGAUGAGUCCUUUGUUUGAGAAAACUCUAUCAAGCAUGACGGUGGUCUUAUGUAGAAACUGAAGAACUUUUGGGGUUAUCUCCCCUUUCCAAAAAGUUUCUCUGUAUUGAACAGCCCCCCCCAAAUCUAUCUUUAUCUCCUAAAGACGGUAAGUUCUGUAAAAGGAAGGAAGAGCAGUGGCUCCAGCCUGAUAUAUAUUUCCUGUUCCUCUGUGUUCUGAGAUGGACUGUUUUCUCACUUCUAUAUGCAAAAUCAUUCUUCUUCUUUUGUAUGCUUCAGAGGAUAUUUGCUUUCAGCUUUUGUUGAGGUUUUUCUUCCGCUCGCUCUCUAUUCCGCUAAACAUAGAUGUCCAGUUGGUCUUUGUGUGCCUCUGUCUGAUUGUGUUGCAUUUUUUUUUUCCCUUGAGUAGGAUGCAAGACGAUGAUGACCAAAAGCAGGAGCUUAGACACGUGAAAACAAAACUAAAAGCCAAUAUUUUUAUACAAGUAGUUCCAAAUGUUUUCUCAUUACACUGUGCUUCAUACUAAAGUCUAGACAGAUUUUACUGUUAAAAUAAUGAUUAGAGGUGGUUGCAAAAGCAUUGGUCAUGAAGACAGUUUCACUGGGUUUUUUUAAUUCUAAAUUUUUUUGGCCUAGAUUAUCAAAGUUGCCACAUUUACUUUGAUUGUGGUACAUUUUUUUCAGUUUUCUUAAUUAAGCUUCAGGCUUAGCUUAACCAGAAACCAGAAAGUACACUCAGCACUACUUCAAAAUGCUCCCACUAACAACAUAACCUCUGAAUAUAAUCGAACCAAAACAAUAAUUAAUCCUUAGAAAUUGAUUAAAUAAAUAAUUGUAAUGUAAUUGGGAAGGCAAUGGAAUAAACCAUUCCAACAGCGUUGCCUUCGACGGCUGCUCAAGAUCACAUAUCGGGAUUGCGUUACCAACGAGGAAGUAUAUCGCCGUGCGGGAGUAAAGCCGCUCCACGUCCAAGUCACCAAGCAUCGGUUCAGAUUCGCCAGUCACAUCCUUCAGCUACCGGACCCGAGACCCGCCCGCGUCGCGGUCCUGUGGAACCCGAGAAAUGGAAAGAGACAGCGAGGAAGACCCAAAAUAACGUGGAGGAGUACGUUCCUCGAAGAUUUACGCUCGGUCGAACUGUGGACCGAGUUCGAUGGCGUUCUCUUGUCGCCCAAUGUGCUGAUCGGCGCGGGAGGAUCUAAGUCUAAGUCACAGCUGAGCAUGUGUGUGGCUCACUCCGUCAGCUCCAAGCAGCUGGCCCAGAUUGACCCCAGCGGUUUGUGACUAUGAAGAGGCACAAGCAGACAUCUAAUGGGAUGGCAGUAGCAAUGACGGCUGGUGUUUCUUUGCGAUGUAUGGAGGCUGUCUGAUGCUUUUCCAUGUCAUAUUUUUUUAUGCUUGGCCACUGACAAGGGAGGUGAAGGAAUUGACCUGCUGCUGACAGAUGAGUUUUCGGGGAUCCCAAGAAGACACAAACCCAGCAGAAGAUCACAAAUGUAAGCAGAGCGCUGACAUGGACCCCACGCUGUGUGUGGGCAGAGUGCUGCUCGUCAGUGUCUCAGCUGUGGGGGAAACUUGUGAGGGAAAAGGAAAGCCCUCAUUGCACAAAUUUCAUGUGUCUGUGUGCAUGAGCGAGCACUGACGGUUGACAGACAGAGUUGAGGUUGAGAAGACGGUGGUCUUUAUCACACCCACACAUCCUCUAUUUCAAACCUGAUGCUGCUUUACUUGAUUUUGCCAACUUCCACUCACUCUUAAUCUGCCUCACUACAUUUCACACACUUUGUUCUGAACCACACUUAGAAAGUUUCAGAGAGGCAUUACAUCUCCAUCCAUCAAACAUGAUCCUUCAAGUGAUAGACGCCAUUUAUCAUGUGGUUUAAGAUGAAGUAUGUUAAAAUUACAGGGUUACCUCUUUUUUUUUGCUGCUGCUGCUGCUGCUUGUUUGUUUUUCAUAUAUGCUGAUUACCAGUUGCCAUCCAGCAACAUUUGCAGAUGCAGCAAUAAGGAAAUGAACCACUCCCACUAGCACUGCCAAUACUGAAGCCAGUUUUCUUGCCAACAUAUUUCUGUUAAUUAAAAGUGCAGUUUCACUAUUUUGUGAGGACCUUAAUCUUACUGGAAGUCCCAGCUUUGUAUGACUGGUCAUGGGUUCAACUCACAGCAAAAGAGGAUGCAAGACCAUUUAGCAUAAAGGUGAUAUAGUGCUGAACUUUAGCUAGCAGAGGAUAUAGGGACUUAGCAUAAAGCUGCGAAGGCGCUGUUGUUCUCAGCAAGCGGCUGUCCUGGUCGAUAAUUAGGUCAGCACAGCCCUCCUGGGAGGGGAGGGCAGAGGGGACACUGUAGAAACCCCUUAGCCCCAUCACAGCCAGAUGAAAAGAAAACAGUCCCAGUACAGGUUCCACAUGUCAGGGCGAAGGGUAAAAAUGUGUUUUAGAUUUUCCUCCUUCCCUCUCCUCUCUGCUCUUGUUUGAUUCUGAGCUGCAAGGGGAUAACCUCCUAAGAGCUCCUAUAACACCUUGCUAUCUUGGCCUUUAGGUUUUUUUUCCUACAAUAUAUGAGUUUGUGUGCAUACUGCGAUGUGGUCUAGUAUAUCUAUUUCUUCCUUCCUCUGGGUUUUAGCUAAUCCAUUUCUCUAGGCUUCCUUCCCAGAACAGUGAGACAUUUUUAAAGAAAACAGAGCUGAGCAGCACCUUGGAAAUCCCACCAUCUUUCUCAUUAAAGAUGAGGAUGAAGACGAAGUUGAUUUUCCUGAUUCAAUUUAAGCCCAUGAAACUGGACCUUAGCCACGGCACUUCGAGAAAGGGAUGAAAGAGAGACAGCUGGAGAGAGAGGGGGGUGCUUAAGUGAGCCAUGAUGGUUCUGUUAGAUUACUUUUCUUCAGUACUGAUUUCAGGAUAUACAGGAUACUGUGUGGGGAGCAUUUUUUAACAUCUGUGCAUGUGGUAGGCCAGUGGGUCAGUCAUGGCUUUAGUGUGGCGCAGUCAAUAAAAACACUGAAAAAGUCUUUUUGUCCUUUUAAUAUAAUGUGUGGUACAUACUGAAAUUUUGGCAAUCUGAUUAGUAAAUCUGUAAAACACAGAAAAGAAAGCUAGGCGAUAAUCGCAGUUAUAUGCUUUAUGCAAACGGCGACUCUAAUGCAGCCAAAUUGUCCUGCAUUUGAAUGCAGGACAAUUUAGCUGCAUUCAAAUGUCACUUUGCCUUUAAGUUGACAAGUCAAGAGGUAAUGUGAAGAGGAUGACCUUAAAUUUAGAGAUAAAGACAGACACAUUCGCGUGUGUGGCUGUACCCUGCACGUGCACAUGCAAGCACGUGCAUGUGGUUGAGAACGACAUAAUGACCCACCAGCAAAACUGCACGCCACGCAAAUGACAGACCUACACAGAUAAAGACUGUUCUUAUGUUCAUGUAAUUCAAACAAUAAUCUACUGUGGGCUCACUGAUAUCCUGCCAAGCUGGGUAUCUUCUCUGUAAUCACAGUUGUCACGUUUGGACAGAAGAAGAGAGCAAAGAUUCCUGUUCUCUACCAGACUCCUGCUUUAUUUAAAUCUUGUAUUAAUACCCUUGUAACAAGAAUACUUAGUCUGUAGAUCUGUGAUGCUUGGGUUAAAUAUAUAGAAUUGUCUUGUAUCUAAAAAUCUUAAUAUACAUAUAAUGUGGGAUUCAGCUGGCCUCAACUUAAUCCUGGCUACAUUCAGAAGGCUAGAAGAAUCAUUUCUGGAAAGUGCAGAGUUUUACAGAUUUCAGGUGGAUAGUUAAAAUCCUCCUCUAACAUGUGUGAGUGUCCACUCUGCAGUAUAUUUGUCUCUGUCAGCAGGCCUUCAGCAACAGCGAGGAUCAAACCCAUAAAGUAACAAUCCAGGAAACCAAGCUUGCUCAAACUGACCAAAGUCUACAGUGUCUACUGGCAGAGGAAAUCAGUAAAAAUGUUUUUCUAGGGAGAUAUUUUUGUCCCGCUUUGGAAAAACGACAGUUGAAAAAGGGAGAAAACGAAUCAUGGGCAAUAGAGAAUUAUGCAAAGGUGGAGUUUAAAAAAAGACUGUUUCUCCUCAAAACAUUAGUAGUACAGAUGAGUGUUCAAAAUACCCAGUUAUGCCUCCUGUUUUUUUUCUGAACCAGGCGCUACUAUCUGGUUCUUAUGAAUCACAUGUGGCAUCUGCUUACUGAAAUAGGCUCUUACUUACAGAACUAAAAAGGGAUAUGGUUACUGCAUUAUCAAUAAGAUUAACAGCCAACACUAAUAUGAGUUAAAAUAAAAUUAAAUUGAACAGAAAAUGACAAUUAAAUCUUGCUUAACCUAAUCUUUGUUGUUACAUUAUCUUAAACUUGAGAGCCAAUUAAAGCAAUGGCUGACUGUAGUUCCCCUCAGAAUACGGUUUUCAAACUAGACCGAAAGUGUGUUUUCACAACGCGAAUCUGAGACUUUUUGGUCUCAUCUCAUACCACCAGCUGUGUUUUUGUUGUCUUUCCCUAAGUUUCUGUCUUUCUCUUCAUAUCAGAAUAAGUGUUGACAGGGUCUUUCAAACAUUUUGAAGACUGCUUUUUCUUUAGACUCUUUCACUAUUGUUCACUCUGAGUUGAACUGUCAAAGUCUUUAUGUCUACACAAUGCAUGUGUAGACUAUAUUUAAGCCUUCACAUGCUAUAAAGAGUCCAGCAACACUUCAUUCUAUGGUCCAGAUUGUAAUGUGUGUGUGUUGUAUGAAAUAAUCAAUUGUGUGACUAAUUGAGUAUAUUAAGCAGAUGUCCACCCUCGAUUUAAACCUAUGGUCGACAACUGCAUAUCUCCUGGAAAAAUCAUCCUCUUCACUCACCCCCACACCCUUAACUUUAAGCUCCACACACAUCCCCUACAGUCUCUCUGGGGAGCUACUGCAGGCAGCCUGGCUCCAGUGUUCCUCACUAUGACCCAGGGGGUCUGCACAUAGCCAAACUGUGAUUCUCUCCUGGGGGCACAGGUACACUAAUCGUCCUGGAAUCAUUGGAAGAAGAAGGUCAUGUGUGGUCAUAAACACGGUACAAACACGGUUAAUGAGUCACAGUAAAUCCUGUAUCUUGGCUGACAUUCUGCAUUGUUUGGUGGAAAUUUAUUCAGGGAAGUUAUUGUGGAAAAUGUCUCUCUCCCAACGUUUUCACUCAUUAUCCACACGCACUCUCUCUGCCUCUCUUAAAUCUUUUCCUAAAUGUGACCUUCAGUAAAAAAAAGAACCUUGUCUGAACUCAGAAGGAAAUUGAAGUUAUGUAAAAAAAAAGAAAAGAAAA